CUUGAAUUUUGUAGAUAGUUAGCCCACAUGAUUUACGACUUCUUGUUUAUUCACAAAGCUUUUGGACGCGUGUAGGUAAGACUUUUCGUUUUCAUUACAAGGCGGGAGUUUAGAUAAGAGAUUGCAAAUAAUUGCCAGUCCGCUGAAGUUAAUCUAAUUCAUAGUCAUUAGGAUGGAUCUCAUCUCCUUUAAUAGAAAGAUCGUUCAUUGUGCAGAUCACCCUUCACAUCAAGAUACAAAUACAGAAAUGAUAAAUUCUUCCGGAUCUUCGACGGAGUCAUUCUUCUUAUUUUUGUACAUAUAAUAACUAAGAAUCCAUAACACGACAAAAUAAUCUACUAAAUUGCCCGGUGAGGAGCAAAGGGGGUGUAUUAUCCUCUAUACACAGCUCCUCCUUCAGUGACAUUCAUGUUAAUAACGGAGCAAUCACUUACUUCAAUGACGUUUGUAUCAAUUUUAUUUAUAAGUAGGACUUCGUGAUGUACGGUCUAUAUAACCUGGACACUUGCAGUUCACGCCUGAUUUCUCAAUUACUUGAGAGUCUCUUUUGUCAUAGGAAAACAAGUGGAAUAUGAUUUUAGCUAUACUCGUACAGAUAAUGUUUCUUUUUUCUCGAUAUUUGAUCUACAAUGCAUAUUCUGUUCUGCUAUUACAUAUAAAUAGUUAUUUGGAACUGUUUAGCGAUUAUAUGUUUAAAAAAUAAUAUAAGAUACCUCCUUAACUUCUGUAGACUUUAAUUAAAAUAUUUGAAUAUCAUUGCAAAUUCCCUACAAGCUUUUCUGCUGAAAACAAUAGUUAAAACUUAAAAUGUAACAAAGUAAUAAUAUGAUUGUUUUAGUAUUGAUUGGAAAAAUAAUAAAACAUUAAUGAUAUUCUUCAAAAUUUAAA
rnacentral:lncRNA from 1 species